AUGUCUUUAUUUAUAAAUGCACAUUUAUGUUUCACUUCCAGCUGGUUGGAGUGUUUGAUGAGCAAGAUCUACAUCAUGGAGGUGAUGACACCAAUGCCAGCUCCAUGCAUACCUAGAGCCCAGAGAGAUUUGCUAGUGCUAGUGAGCUUGGCACCAACAAUGUCUCAGCCUUUCAGUCUGAUCAAGCAGCAAGUGAAAUUGAGGUCACAUCUUCAGUACUUCAUAUUUACCUUUGGAGUCCAACCCUUCUGACCAUCCAGAGGCAAGCACAAUAUUCCUGAGAAAAUCUCAAACAGAUGGUACUGAGAAGCCCUUUAGGAAAAUUGGAAUGGAUGUGAGGCAUCGUCAUGUGAAGAAAAGCAUCCCAGAAGGUUCUGAUUUUCACACCAACUCAAUCAUUCCAAACUUUGCUGCACUUUGAAAUCACCAGGGAAAUUUUUAACAAUAACUCUGAUGCCCAAAGUCCUACCCAAUGCUAAUUAAUUAAAUAAAAAAGUCUCAUGUUGAAAAUAAGGCAGUUAUUAAAGCUCCUCAGUUGAUUUUAAUGUGCAGCAAAGUUUGAGAGACACUGCUUAAUUUGAAUUUAGGACGAGAAACUGCUCCGAUUUAGCGGGACCUUGGGCAAGUCAGUUUUAAGGUUUCUUUCCCUAAUCUGUAAAAUGAGUUUUGGAUUAAAUGUCAUAUAAGGUCAUUGGUCCUUUCCAGCAUGUAACUUCAAAUUCUGUGAUUUUAAAAUGAUUUUAGAGAUGAAAACUAUUUGAAGCACUAUAGACAUAUCCAUCUUAAAUGCUAAUGUUACAGGCUUUUUAAAAAGUGUUAAUAUUGUAUAGACCUAUUAUUAAAAUUCAGAUUUGCCUUCCCUCAGUUAUUCUGAGCCUCAUUCUAGAUGCUGAGGGCAAUGGAAGCACAUAACUUAUGCAAGAGAACCUCUUGUUCUGUGAUAUGCAGCAUCUGUGAGUAACUUAGGAAUACAGUUACAUAUAUCUGAAGAGGUGUAUCUGUUCAUAAAUAUUUCAGUUAAACUAGUUGAAGGUACCUGCCAUUCACAUUAUACUGUGUCGUGUUACACUGCCUUGUUAGCACAGCUUAUUUUAGGAUCACUGCACCUAUCAUUGAUUUCCUGUGUGCUUAUGUUUACUAAUAUAUUUUUAAAUAAUUAUGCAAAAGUGAUUUCAAAUAAUUUUGUUAUAAAGCACUUUCAUUAUGUAUUUUUAGGGAAAUAAUUUAAAAUGGGUGGGAGGAGAUAGUGAACUAAAUUAAAUGCAGGACCUAACACCUUAAAAAAGAAAACACUACUGUAUGUCUUAAACAUAUGGACACAUAGAUGUAAACUGCAUGAAGCUGUGUGCGGUGGCUCAUGCCUGUAAUCCCAGCACUUUGGGAGUUCCGAGGCAGGUGGAUCACUUGAGGCCAGGAGUUUGAGACCAACCUGGCCAUCAUGGUGAGACCCUGUCCCUACUAAAAAUACAAAAAUUAGCUGGGUGUAUUGGUGCAAACCUGUAGUUCCAGCUUCUUGGGAGGCUGAGGCAUGAGAAUUGCUUGUACCUGGGAGGUGGAAGUUUUGGUGAGCCAAGAUUGCGCCACUGCACUCUAGUCUGGGUGACAGAGUGAGACUCUGGGUCAAAAAAUAAAUAAAUGCAUAAAAUAAAUUGCAUGGGAUGAAAGGUUUUGUGGGUAGAAGAGCAUAUAACAGGGAAAUAUGUUGUUAUUUAUAUAUUAUAAUCAUCAACAGAAACAUGUCUUCUAAAAGCAUACUGCCUUGAAUUUUGGUUCUCAUAUUUUUGCGAAAAGCUAAGAAACAAAAACAAGAAAGUGCCCUUAUGGUACUGUUCUGAACUAUAAGAUUUGAAUUUCAGAGCCGCUAGGAGUGUUUCUUCUGCCCCCCCUUUAAAAAAUGUCUUCAAGCCUAACAAAUCAUAACAUUUAUUGUUAUGAAUUUUUUUCCCUUCCACAGUGUGACCUUGGUGAUAUAUUAACAUAUCAAGCAAAGGUGAGCUUUUCUAAAACCUGUCUUGUUAUUCUGGCUAAUUACUUUGCAUGAUAUCAAGCUGAGCGUUAGGUCACAGCUCUAGACAUCAUAAGCUGUAUUGUGCCUACUAAAAUAUCAAAGCAAAUUAUUUGUGUUUUCUUUGGUCCUUGAGACUUUAUAAAUUCUUAAAUGAUUGAGUAUCCCAAUGAGUAUGAUUUUAUAUUGAUUAUAUUUAUAUUUACUGUGAUAGAAAUAUAAAAUUGAUACUUUUUUCAAAAUCUAUUUUUAGUUUAGAUUUCACAGACUUAACACUAUUGCUAUCAUGAGCUAGAUAACGCUUUGUGAGGACUGUCCUGUGCAUUACAAAAAGUUUAGCAACAUUGAUGGCCUCUACCAACUAGAUGUCAGUAGUAACCCAUGACCCAGGU
rnacentral:lncRNA from 1 species